UACGUAGGGGGCAAGCGUUGUCCGGAAUCAUUGGGCGUAAAGCGCGUGUAGGCGGCCAGAAAAGUCCGCUGUGAAAACUCGAGGCUCAACUUCGAGCUGUCGGUGGAAACUUUCUGGCUAGAGUCCGGAAGAGGAGAAUGGAAUUCCUGGUGUAGCGGUGAAAUGCGCAGAUAUCAGGAGGAACAUCGGUGGCGAAGGCGGCAUCCUGGACCGGUAUUGACGCUGAGGCGCGAAAGCCAGGGGAGCAAACGGG
rnacentral:rRNA from 1 species